GAAUUCGGUUUCUGAUUAUGGAGAACAGAGAGAGUCAGAGAUCUUCAUCUCCUGAUCCCAGCUGUGUGUCUCUGAAGAGUGAUGGAUCCAUGCGUUAUCCUCCUAAAUUCAGUGAUGAUCCAGUGACCUCUGACCCCAGGAGGAAGAGGAAGAGAACUUCAUCUCCUGAUCCCAGCUGUGUGUCUCUGAAUAAAGGAGGAGGAUUCAUGGAUCUGUCACUCUUCAGUGAUGAAGCAGUGACCUCUGACCCCAGUGUAAGAUGUUGAAGACUGUAAGGAGCUGCAGGGACUUGGCACUUGUGCUCCUGAACACAGUUCACUGUUCA
rnacentral:lncRNA from 1 species